rnacentral:rRNA from 1 species
CCUACGGGGGGCAGCAGUGGGGAAUAUUGCGCAAUGGGCGAAAGCCUGACGCAGCGACGCCGCGUGAGGGAUGAAGGUCUUCGGAUCGUAAACCUCUGUCAGCAGGGAAGAACGGUCACUGUGCUAAUCAGCAGUGAAUUGACGGUACCUGCAAAGGAAGCACCGGCUAACUCCGUGCCAGCAGCCGCGGUAAUACGGAGGGUGCGAGCGUUAAUCGGAAUUACUGGGCGUAAAGCGCUCGUAGGCGGUAUGUCAAGUCAAGGGUGAAAUCCCCGCGCUCAACGUGGGAACUGCCUUUGAAACUGGCAAACUGGAGUGUGUGAGAGGAUAGUGGAAUUCCAGGUGUAGGAGUGAAAGCCGUAGAUAUCUGGAGGAACAUCAGUGGCGAAGGCGACUAUCUGGCACAUAACUGACGCUGAGGAGCGAAAGCGUGGGUAGCAAACAGGAUUAGAUACCCUAGUAGUU